CUACCUUGAGGUGGUAG
rnacentral:misc_RNA from 1 species